rnacentral:rRNA from 1 species
AGUGAACGCUGGCGGUAGGCCUAACACAUGCAAGUCGAACGGCAGCACAGUAAGAGCUUGCUCUUACGGGUGGCGAGUGGCGGACGGGUGAGGAAUACAUCGGAAUCUACUUUUUCGUGGGGGAUAACGUAGGGAAACUUACGCUAAUACCGCAUACGACCUACGGAUGAAAGCAGGGGAUCUUCGGACCUUGCGCGAUUGAAUGAGCCGAUGUCGGAUUAGCUAGUUGGCGGGGUAAAGGCCCACCAAGGCGACGAUCCGUAGCUGGUCUGAGAGGAUGAUCAGCCACACUGGAACUGAGACACGGUCCAGACUCCUACGGGAGGCAGCAGUGGGGAAUAUUGGACAAUGGGCGAAAGCCUGAUCCAGCCAUACCGCGUGAGUGAAGAAGGCCUUCGGGUUGUAAAGCCCUUUUGUUGGGAAAGAAAAGCAGCAGGUUAAUACCCCGCUGUUCUGACGGUACCCAAAGAAUAAGCACCGGCUAACUUCGUG